rnacentral:snRNA from 2 species
AUCCGGCGAUGAUUCUCAGGAAUAUGUGCCAGGAUAUAUCAUGCAUCACCAUCUGA